rnacentral:snRNA from 1 species
AUACCUUUCUCGGCCUUUUGGCUAAGAUCAAGUGUAGUAUCUGUUCUUAUCAGUUUAAUAUCUGAUAUGUGGGCCAUGUGCCCACUUCGAUAUUAAAUUUAUUUUUUGUGGGGGAGGGCCCACAACAGUAGCUUGCUACUGGGGUCCUCGGGCGUCGCCAAGGCGUUGCACUGCUGCCCGGGCCUGGCGCACCCCAA